GUCUAGUGAUGAUAGCGAAGAGGUCACACCCGUUCCCAUGCCGAACACGGAAGUUAAGCUCUUCAGCGCCGAUGGUAGUUGGGGGUCUCCCCCUGCGAGAGUAGGACGUCGCUAGGCA
rnacentral:rRNA from 1 species